rnacentral:lncRNA from 1 species
AUGGCAACACGCUCCAGUAUUCUCGCCUGGGAAAUCGCAUGGACAGAGGAGCGUGGCAGGCUACAGCCGUUGGGGCUGCAAAGAGUCGUGGACAUGACUGAGCACACACACAGGCAAUCCAGAGCUGAAAUAGUAAAGGAGGGGAUGGCUGUGCUUCAUUUUCUGUCUGCUGAGCCUGUGAAACCAAGGGGAAAAUAUUACAAGAAAAGAACCAGGAGGGGAAAGUCAAGCAAAGCAAACAUAUACCGGAGACCAGCUUGUUCACCUGCGCUUUCACUAGUAGAAGGAGACAUUUCAAAAGCAGAGAGACGCCUACACCCGUCUGCUGUAUUUCACCCUAGCUUGUGGUCUGAUUGGUAAGGGAAUAAUUGUAGCAGAGCUCCGAGGCUCUCUAGGACUCACCUUCAUCAAAACGCCGACAAUCACCAAACCAUCAGCCUGUGAGGCGGCAUCAGCAAAGCUGGGGUACUUGGCAGAAUUCCAGUGAACCAAAUGAAGCUAAAACACACAAGGUGAUGGAGCAGUUAUUCAAACCACGGUGAAGGGAAAAGCAAGUUAGACCUUAACAUGUGGGUCUAUACAGCUAUUUCUUGGGUUGGAUAGAUAAAACUUGUGUGACCCUUUAUCCAAGGCAUGGGAAGGGCUAUGUUUGCACUCUUAAGAAAGGUUUUCCUAAGAAAAUAGAGUUGAAGAGAGUGGGCACGUUGCAAAUCCUGGAACCAGUAAGUAGAAAUUCUUUUUCCCACAAUAUCAUAACUAUUCAAUAUUACUUCUUAAAACAAAACAAAACAGAAAAAACAGACACCUCUCUGUUUGGUGAGAGAAGAUGAAGUAUUUCUGGCUAACUAGUUUGGAGACAAAAACUGCAAUAAUUUUCUAACUUGAGGUACCCGGUAACUUUGUGAGAAGGGGCUCCUGAGAUGUCUGGAGUCUUGGCCAAGGGCAGGUUCCCCUGAGUGGAUCCAGACACCUUUCAAAUCAACAGCCCCUGCCUAAGUUCUCUGUGAAACUCUAGACCUGUAUAUCCAAGGCCAUGUGCACGUCUUCCUGAUUCUUUCUUGACAUCUCCACAUGGAUGCCUGACAUCCAUCUCAAACUUAACACGGCCAAAGUAGCACUCUUGACUUUCUUUUUUCCAGACCUGUUUCAUCUUCCCACUUUAGCAAAAGGCAUCACCUUCCCUCUAACUGCUCAACCGAAAACUGUAGCCGUUACUCAUUUCUUACUUUUCUCCACUUAUUGGCAUCCAUCCUUCCACGCAGCCCAUAGAUGUUAGCCUUGCACUUAGUCCAGAGCUCUAAGGCUUGGCAUAACUGAAGAUUUUCCUCUGGGAUGGCAAGUCAAAAUGGCAGGAUUUUCACUCGAAUUAUGGCUGAACUCAAAUGCUACUCCUGAACAAGUCUUUUUCUGACCACCUACUGUCAAGUGAUCCCAGGUCGCUUCGAUGAAUCUAAACCAAAGCCGUCCACUCCCCACCACCCACAGGUCUCCUCUCUGUCUCCGAUCUUUCUCCCCACCACUGCCCUGGUCUCCCUCCCACCCCUUCUCCUACACUCUCUCACAAGCCGAAUUAGUGACUGAGAACCUGUCACCUCCAACCUGGAUUAACCCACUUGUCUCAAAUUAGAUAAGACGUUCAUUGAUUCAGAUUUCUUCAGAUCAGUUCAGUUCAGUCACUCAGUCGUCUCCGACUAUUUGCGACCCCAUGAACCGCAGCACGCCAGGCCUCCCUGUCCAUCACCAACUGCCGGCUUGCUUAGAUACAGCCAAAUAUCCUCCCCCAGACAUAAUACUAUUAUUAAUUUAGACUUUCAGCCCAUUUGAUUUCAGUCCAUUUUCAAUUUUAUGAAAAAUAAAUAGGAAAAACCAAAACAUUUAAUAGAUUUCUGCACCAUUGAAAGUUCCUAGCCUGGCUUUCUAGUGCAACAUAAAGUAAAUUUUAUUUGUAUACUAUUCCCAAGUCUUCUAUCAAAAUGAAUACUACACAUACUCUGUACCUAACAAUCCCUCUUACAAAAAUCUGCCCUACACAAUUGCUUUCACCAGUGUAAGAUAUUUGUACAAAUGUAGUUAUUACCCAUUGUUUUUUGCAAAGAAAAAAAAAACACAACAGAAUGAAAUGGGAAAGGCAUUGCAAUUGUUCCCAUGGAGGAAUUAGUUAAUAAAUUCUAACAUAUGCAUACAUGGAAAUACCGUGCAGACUUUAGGAAUUCCUGCUGACUUGGAACAAUGACCAUGAUCAUUGGUAAAGGAAAAAAAAAAAAGCAUGUUGCAAAACUGUGUAUUACAGAUUCGUUCUACAAGAGUAAAACAAAAAAGCCAACCCGUCUGCACUGGUACAAACUUAUGGAACAGUCAUGCAUACAAAGAACAAAAGUUUUUUGGUUUCAGUCUCCAUAUCCCUGUUGAGAGUUUGAUGCACAUUUUCUUGAUUUUAUCGUGGAUAUACAGGCAGAAUGUCUUGAACUGAAUCACAGACUUCCAUGUGGAGGCAAGUCAAGAGGCCAGAGGGUAGUGGCCUGCGGCCAGGGAGCCCCAAAUCGUCAUCUAGAGGAGGUUACUCGUUGUGAUGACUCCUGAGGUUAAACUGGCCCUCUAAGUAGAAUCUUAAUGGAAUGCCUUACUUGGCUAUACCUCUGCUGCGGGUGUGCACCCUUGACCCUUUAAAUGAGAAGAGAAUGAUGGUGUGUUCCCCCUGGGGCUCAGAGCUUUAAAAGGAGAGCAGCAACUCCCCUUGAGGUUAGCCUGAUGUCAGGCAGCAGUUCCCGAGACAUUCUGAAAUGAAAACACAUUCGAGGCUCAGGAGUUUGAUUGCAAAUUCACCUGCCUCCCUCACGUGAAAAAUUGUCCUCCAUUGCCAAACACAAUGUAUCACUGUUUAAGUUUAAUGGAGCCUAGGAAUUCUUUACAGACUGCAAAAUGCUCAUUCCUUGGAGCCGUUGAAAUUGUGUCUUAAGUGAUAAGGGGCGCUUCCCUGGUGGUUCAGACAGGUAAACAAUCUGCCUGCAAUGCAAGGGACCCUGGUUUGAUCCCUGAGUGGGGAAGAUCCCUAAGAGAAGGGAUAGGCUACCCACUCCAGUAGUCUUGCCUGGAGAACCCCAUGGACAGAGGAGCCUGGUGGGCUACAGUCCCUGGGGUCACAAAGUGCUGGACAUGACUGAGCGACUAACACACACCCCCGUGUUAUGAGGGGGCUACUUCUGGGAGGACUCUCGGCGUAGCUCCUCUCACUCACUCAGCUGCAUUACCUCUGCAGAAAAUGUGGCUCCAUCCACCAAGUGCUCAGAGCCACAGUCAUCGGUGCUGCCCCAGUGAAAAUGGAACUGACGCAGCCUGUAGCUUUCCGAUAGAGGACCGCCUUUCAGCACUAGAAUAAAAAGGAAAGUGCUGUUAGUGUUCUAGUCAUGAGCUCCAGCUUGUCUUUGCAUUGAAUACAAAUUAACACUAAAUUGGGUCGAGUAGAAAUGAAAUAAACCGUAGUCCAAAGUUCCCAUCCUGUUGGUCUUUCCCCAUGCCCACAAUGAGUGUGCUGCACCUUAAGAUCGUGGGUGACUUAUACGGUUCCCAGCACAUGGGAUAUAAUUUUAUCUUUUCCUGUUUCCAGGAAAACAUAUUGGAAGAUGAGUGAAUUAUAGGAUGAGAGGUCUUUCCUUGAACCUGCUUUAGUUUAUAAGUUCAUUCAUUCUUUCAACAGACAGUAAUGGACAGCAUGCAUUAAGAUAUCUAGCAAUUUAUUUUCAGUAACAAAUCACUCUGCACGUAUCUUGUAACUAUCAAGAUACAAGAGGGUAAUCUGACAGCUUUGCUGAGAAUUCCUAGCCAGGGACAAAAAAAAGUUCCAGCAGCAGGGUAGGGUCAAUUUUAAAAUUCUCAUACUGAAGGGUCAUUUUGCUUUAGAGAGCCUAUCCAACCAUACGAUUAAAACACACACACAGUACCAGACCUAAUCCAAUAUUAACAAAGGACAUAGCCCCAAGAUGUCUGAAAUUUAGGCUCUGAACCUUGUAGGAAAGUGCUAUGAUUAAUUUUGCCUUUUGACAGUAGAGCUGAUUUAUGAAACUGCUAUUUAGAAAAUUAUUCAGUAACAGUUUUGAGAAUUUUCCUGUGAACAAGGAAGUGUGGUAGAUUCUGGGAGAUGAAGAUAAUUCAGUUACUAUGAUCUAAUAGGGAGAGGGGAAGGUAGACAAAAAUACUUAUACACAGAAUGAUUCCAUGCAAGAUACACCCAAGACCAGUAUUUUUUUUUUUUUUACUGGUACCCAAGCACUUCACAAGCUGGUGAUGGACAGGGAGGCCUGGCAUGCUGCGAUUCAUGGGGCUGCAAAGAGUCGGACACGACUGAGUGACUGAACUCAACUGAACUGAAGCACUUCAUUUUUAUGGAGCCAUUUUCCUGGCCACAAAAAAUAAAUCUACUCUUCGUGUGUAGUUCUUCCCUAAUGCGCUCCUCCAACCUCAUCUCAAUUAGAAAAUAUUUGCCUUUUCAGUUUUUAUAUUCAUGAUGGUUCACAGAAUUUUGUGAAAAAGUACUGUUUAUUCAGAGGGUGUAAAGUUAGCAUAAAGACAUUGGAAA